UUUUUCUUCUUUAGCAUAAGGUUUGCCUCCUACUACUGAAUCAUAAGCAUCUAGAUUUUUUUAAUAUUAACGACGAGAUCUAUUAUCACUUUUUGCAUGUCCUCUAAAAUUUAAUGUAGGUGAAUUUUCUCCCAAAUAUUAACGACGAGAUCUAUUAUCGCUUUUUGCAUGUUCUCUAAAAUUUAAUGUAGGUGCAAAUUCUCCCAAUUUGUGGCCUGCCAUACUAUCCGUUGUAUAAAUAGGCAAAUGCUCUUUUCCAUUAUGGAUAAAAAUAGUAUGACCGAUCAUUGUGGGUAUAAUGGUAGAUGCCCGGGACCAAGUUACUAUUAUUUC
rnacentral:lncRNA from 1 species